UGGGGAAUAUUGCACAAUGGGCGCAAGCCUGAUGCAGCCAUGCCGCGUGUAUGAAGAAGGCCUUCGGGUUGUAAAGUACUUUCAGUCGGGAGGAAGGUGGUAAGGUUAAUAACCUUAUCAAUUGACGUUACCCGCAGAAGAAGCACCGGCUAACUCCGUGCCAGCAGCCGCGGUAAUACGGAGGGUGCAAGCGUUAAUCGGAAUUACUGGGCGUAAAGCGCACGCAGGCGGUCUGUCAAGUCGGAUGUGAAAUCCCCGGGCUCAACCUGGGAACUGCAUUCGAAACUGGCAGGCUAGAGUCUUGUAGAGGGGGGUAGAAUUCCAGGUGUAGCGGUGAAAUGCGUAGAGAUCUGGAGGAAUACCGGUGGCGAAGGCGGCCCCCUGGACGAAGACUGACGCUCAGGUGCGAAAGCGUGGGGAGCAAACAGG
rnacentral:rRNA from 1 species